rnacentral:lncRNA from 1 species
GCCGCCGACCACUCCCCGUUCAACCCCCCCGUCAUCGUCCUCCGCCGCUCCGCAUCCCCCGACGACGCCACCACCUUCGAUCUCCUCUACGACGACGGCGCCUCCUCCGCCCUCCGCCCCCUCUUCGACCGCCUCCUCCUCCGCAUCCCCUCCGCCUCCGACAACCCCAACCCCCCGGCCUCCAAAGCCGCCGUCGACUCCAUGCCCACCAUCCUCAUCGGGGCCUGCCACCUCGCCGCCGACUCCCACUGCGCCGUCUGCAAGGAACCCUUCCACCUCGCCGCCGAGGCCAGGGAGAUGCCCUGCGCCCACAUCUACCACCACAAUUGCAUCCUCCCCUGGCUCGCUCUCCACAACUCAUGCCCCGUCUGCCGCC